GUGCUCACUUCGGUAGCACAUAUACUAAAAUUGGAACCAUACAGAGAAGAUUAGCAUGGCUCCUGUGCUAGGAUGACGUGCAAAUUUGUGAAGCGUUCUAUAUUUUC
ensembl:snRNA U6 U6 spliceosomal RNA